rnacentral:tRNA from 1 species
UCUUCCCGCAACCCAUGUUCGAAUCCUGGUAUGGCCUGGCCGUAUAGUGUAGUGGUUUAGCACUCGGGAUUUUGAUC